UAUCAGAUCAGGAUGCAGCCAAUCCUUCUAAUAACUCCAGGAAAGACCGUUGGACUCCUGAUGAUUUAGAGAAAUUGGGGUUUGACAAUCAUCUCAGAAAACCACUGAGUGCACAUGAGGUUUUGUCAAGGUUUGAUAGAGAAACUUCUGCUGAUUCUCUAUCCACUGAACAGAAAGAACAAGUUUCUUUUGGGCGCCAUUUGUCCUCCCCAUGGCGACUAAAGGAGUUGCAUCUAACCGAUGGGCCAAUAAUUUCUGGGAAUUCUACUAUGAAUACAGGUCAAACAGAGGGAUACUCUGCCACUCUUGGCGGGUUGCCUGUGAAAGCAAGUUCCUCUUUGCCCAGAAUGGCAGUUCGACCACAUAUGGGAACCUCAGGGUCUGUGUUAUCAGCAAACACAUUAUUAGGGUCAGGUCAACAAAGGAUUCAGUCGCUAGGAGCAGCAUCACCAUCUGGACAGUCACCAUUGCGCCAACAUCCACCCUCACCUUCAUUUCCAGCACGUUAUCCACAUAAGCAAUUGCAAAAUUCAGUGGAGCAAGACCUGUCUCGUCCUGAUUAUAAGGCACAUCAAUUGUCAGGGAAUUUAGUUUCUUCAAAUGUUCAGCUUGGUAACUUGCAAAAACUGCAUCCUGAAGACUUGCCUACAUCAUCUCCUUCUCUACCUUCUUUUCAAAACAGCCGCCAGUAUCCUAUGUCACAGCCACGACAAGUUGACUCCAAACAGCUUGAACCCUUUGGUCAUAUUCAAAAGACACAUCUAACUCUAGUUCCCAAAGUUGGUACUCCUUCAUCGUUUGGAAUUUCUACACCAGAUCAUUCAACUCUACUUAGUGCAGAAACUUCAGGCCAGUCAAGCACAAGUAGUUUGUUGGCUGCUGUUAUGAGUAGUGGAAUUCUCUCUAAUAUAACCACUGUUAGCCUUCCUAAUCAAAGUUUUCAGGAUGUCAGGCAAAAUCCAUUGGACUUGAGCAUUCAGCCUUCUAUUCCAAGUGGGCCUCUUUCUCCCCAAAUUGCAUCUUCUGGGCCAAGGGUUAAGUCGGUAUCAGCUCCUCUGUCACAUGAUAUCACAUCGGUCACCUCAAAUGUUUCUCAAAGGAAAGAAGAGCAGCCUCCACUGCCUCGUGGUCCUCCACCUUCAUCUGUACAAACUUCAAGUGCAAUGAAUAAGGAAGAUAAUCAAAUAUCAAACCUUUUAAGCUCAUUAGUUGCCAAGGGUUUGAUAUCGGCAUCAAAGUCGGAGACAUUGUCUCUCUUACCGCCUCAGUUGCAUACUCAAUCACAGACACAGAACCUUUGCAUCGCCAACUCCAGCAACACAUCAACUUCUUCUCUUCCGGUUUCUUCUGCUAUUCCCUGUUCAUCCACCAAAGAUGAAGUUUCAUUGCCCAGGCCAGAUGCUAAAGAGUCUGUUGUGUUGCCUCAAUGCAUUUCAGCAGAGAUAAAAAGUCUCAUAGGAUUGGAGUUUAAAUCAGACAUAAUUCGAGAAUUACAUCCGCCUGUGAUAUGUUCACUCUUUGAUGAUCUUCUGCAUCAAUGCAGCAUAUGUGGCCUUAAACUUAAGCAUAAAGAGAGGCUUGAUAGGCACUUGGAGUGGCACACUUGGGGGAAGCCAGAACCAGAUGGUAUAAAUAAAAUUACAAGGAGAUGGUAUGCAUCUUCAGGGGACUGGAUUACUGGAAAGGCAGAGCUUCCAUUUAGAAUUGAGUCUUCUGUUUUCACAGAUGAGUUAGUGAGGACAAUGGAUGAGAAUGAACCUAUGGUUCCUGCAGAUGAAGAUCAAUGUGUAUGUGUCUUGUGUGGUGAGCUGUUUGAAGAUUAUUAUAGUCAUGAAAAGAAGAAAUGGAUGUUUAAAGCAGCAGUGCACUUGUCACUUACCUUGAGGGAUGGUGGGAUAGGAACUACAAGUGAGAAUGCUGAGGGUCCCAUCGUGCAUGUGAAUUGUAUAUCAGAAAGUUCAGUUCAUGACUUGGGGCUUGCAAGUGGUAUUGAAAUGGAUAAGGAUGGAUAAUGCCUAGAUUUGAAAACAAGACACCAGGACUGAUUGGCAGGUACAAGCAUACUGGAAUUUCAGGUGUACCGUGCAGAAGGUUUGUGAAUGGGCAUAUGAUGCUAAUUUUAUUGUGCAUCAAAAUGAUGCUGAGAGCUGUCUUGUAAUAUUCCCGCUUGUUUUUAUCUUUUUUUAGUCCUAUUUCCCCCUAUUUAUAGUCUUAUAGAAAUAUAUAUAAAUGCCAGAUAGUUUACACCUCAACUUUCUUCACUAAUGUGGUUGAUGUGUUGUUCUUUUUAUGUGUUGUUUUUGAAUUUACGGAAGCGGGUUUGCACUCAAUACCAUCGUCAGAUGCCAGUGACAGAAGGAAAAGCACUACCAUUUCUCAUUCAGCUCCACAAUUGGCUUUAUGGGUCUUCGUAUCACUAGAAUAGAAAUGAAGCUGCUGCUUUCUUUUCUUAUUUUUCUUUUUUUUUUUUUUAAUCAGUUUUGUCUUUUCUUCAUUUCCUUUUUGAAUAUUUGAUUUGGCAAUGUUGGUGCAUCGAUUCUUAUAUGGUUUGUUAGUGAGACUCGGACAGUAAUGAUGUAUUAUGCGUCUUGUUUUCCCAACUCUUGAAAAUUGCUUUGUUCCUAUCGGCCUCUUGGUGUAGUGCUUUUUCUUGAAUGGAUGGUUCUCUAUUAAAACUAUUGUUCCUUGGUCUGGUUUUACUUGUUUCCCUUGGUCAGGCGUUUUACAAAAGCUUGCUGCAUUUAAAUAUUCAAAUUGGAUAAAAAGAACGGGAUGCGUUAUUCUCCUGGAAAAUUUCUGUGGUCUUGGAUUUGAGGCAGGCAAACUUCAAUGGGCAUGAUUAGUUUAAAAUCUGACUGACCACAAGGCUCUUGAUUGGAGAGCGAACUGUAGGGCAGAAAACAUAUUUCUGGGAUGGAUGCGGAAGUCCAAAAAUGAGGUUCAAUCCAGAUAUGUUGACAACAUAAUCCCACGGCGGAGAAUCUAUCAAGUCGUUGGGCUCUUGAGGGCUGAAAGGGUAGUCAUUGCUGAGAUACUGGAAUGGUAGUGUGAAACUAGGAAGUAAUGAGGUUUAGAACGUUUCAAGAAUGUGGAUUUACGUGUGGAAUUUCCAUCAAGUCCACAUCAGGGUGAAAAGGAAGAGUGUUAUUAUUGGGAGUUUUCCUUCUUUUGAUUAUAUGGUUCAUGAUGGCAACACUACCGUAACAACUAAAUAUUAAAAUUGGAAUGGAU
rnacentral:misc_RNA from 1 species